rnacentral:misc_RNA from 1 species
GAUGAAGAACGCAGCGAAAUGCGAUACGUAAUGUGAAUUGCAGAAUUCAGUGAAUCAUCGAGUCUUUGAACGCACAUUGCGCCCCCUGGUAUUCCGGGGGGCAUGCCUGUCCGAGCGUCAUUGCUGCCCUCAAGCGCGGCUUGUGUGUUGGGCCUCCGUCCUCCUCCCGGGGGACGGGCCCGAAAGGCAGCGGCGGCACCGCGUCCGGUCCUCGAGCGUAUGGGGCUUCGUCACCCGCUCUUGUAGGCCCGGCCGGCGCUUGCCGACACAUCAAUCUUUUUUCCAGGUUGACCUCGGAUCAGGUAGGGAUACCCGCUGAACUUAAGCAUAUCAAUAAGCGGAGGA